GCGGGCGUAGCUCAGUUGGCUAGAGCGCAACCUUGCCAAGGUUGAGGUCGAGGGUUCGAGCCCCUUUGCCCGCUCCA
rnacentral:tRNA from 1 species